ensembl:lncRNA
GGUAGAGGAGGAAAGAGGGGAAGGAGAGGUAGAGGAGGAAAGAGAGGAAGGAGAGGUAGAGGCGGAAGGAGAGGGAAGGAGAGGUAGAGGAGGAAGGAGAGGUAGAGGAGGAAGGAGUGGGAAAGAGAGGUAGAGGAGGAAGGAGAGGUAGAGGAGGAAGGAGAGGGAAGGAGAGUGAGAGGCAUGUGGACUUUGAUAUCUCUACGUGUGUAGAGGUUGAAGAGUCAGUCAAACCCUGGCCUGUCCUGUUCUGUCCUGUCCUCCUGUCCUGUCCUUAUACCUCACACCCAGUCAAACC